UGGGGAAUAUUGGACAAUGGGCGAAAGCCUGAUCCAGCCAUGCCGCGUGUGUGAAGAAGGUCUUCGGAUUGUAAAGCACUUUAAGUUGGGAGGAAGGGCAGUAAAUUAAUACUUUGCUGUUUUGACGUUACCGACAGAAUAAGCACCGGCUAACUCUGUGCCAGCAGCCGCGGUAAUACAGAGGGUGCAAGCGUUAAUCGGAAUUACUGGGCGUAAAGCGCGCGUAGGUGGUUUGUUAAGUUGGAUGUGAAAUCCCCGGGCUCAACCUGGGAACUGCAUCCAAAACUGGCAAGCUAGAGUAUGGUAGAGGGUGGUGGAAUUUCCUGUGUAGCGGUGAAAUGCGUAGAUAUAGGAAGGAACACCAGUGGCGAAGGCGACCACCUGGACUGAUACUGACACUGAGGUGCGAAAGCGUGGGGAGCAAACA
rnacentral:rRNA from 1 species